AAAACUAGCCAGUCCCGUAGGUAUGAAACCCAUUUGAGCGAGAGUAGUACUAGGAUGGGUGACCUCCUGGGAAGUCCUCGUGAAAGGGUUUC
rnacentral:rRNA from 1 species